rnacentral:rRNA from 1 species
GAUGAACGCUGGCGGCGUGCCUAAUACAUGCAAGUCGAGCGAACGGACGAGAAGCUUGCUUCUCUGAUGUUAGCGGCGGACGGGUGAGUAACACGUGGAUAACCUACCUAUAAGACUGGGAUAACUUCGGGAAACCGGAGCUAAUACCGGAUGAUAUUUUGAACCGCAUGGUUCAAAAGUGAAAGACGGUCUUGCUGUCACUUAUAGAUGGAUCCGCGCUGCAUUAGCUAGUUGGUAAGGUAACGGCUUACCAAGGCAACGAUGCAUAGCCGACCUGAGAGGGUGAUCGGCCACACUGGAACUGGGACACGGUCCAGACUCCUACGGGAGGCAGCAGUAGGGAAUCUGCCGCAAUGGGCGAAAGCCUGACGGAGCAACGCCGCGUGAGUGAUGAAGGUCUUCGGAUCGUAAAACUCUGUUAUUAGGGAAGAACAUAUGUGUAAGUAACUGUGCACAUCUUGACGGUACCUAAUAAGAAAGCCACGGCUAACUACGUG